AGACUGUGUGGGAAUGAAGAUUUUUGCUGAACAAACAAAACACCUGUUCCUCCUCUUAAACCCCCAAAGACGUGAACUUGCAGUUAUAAAAGCACCAAUUCUCCUCAAUUCAGCAAGUUCACUUCCUAACACAGGAUAAACUACUGAGACCAGUGAUUUUCACAGGAACAAUGUCAGACAUUGCCAACACCGAUGAUGUUAACAUUGGAGACAACGAAGGGAAGGUUGGUGCUGAAAAUGAAGUUGCAGUUGAAGGUGGCCUUGGGAAAAAUGUUGCUCUGAGCAACACCGCUCACAUUGAUGUUACAGGGACAAAUGCAGACACAGGAUUGAUUGGAGCAAAGAACAGCUAUGAUGUAACCGGAGGACUGGAUGAUGGAACACAUCUUGGCAACACUACCAAUAUUAAAGUUGGUAAUAACUCAGGAUCAAUUGGUGCAGGCAAUCGCAUUAAGCUCAGCUAAGGAAACAGCCCUCCAACAGAUGGACAAAAAGACCACUCUUAAGAUUAUUAAGCGGUGACCAUUAUUCUCAUACAAUUGAAAUGUCUUAGUAGUAGUAGUAGUUGUUGUUGUUAGUAGUAAGUAAAAACAAAUGUUAAAUUCCUGAUUUAAUGGUUAGUAAAGACUUAAUGUAAAGAAAGUAGAAAUAAAAAGAGUCCAUCUGCUCUA